AUUAAUUAAUUAAUUACAUUUAUUAAUAAUAUUAUAUAAUAUAUAAUUAAUUAAUUUAUUAAUAAUACAUAUAAUAAAUCGCAUUUCAAACUUCAAAUUUUUUUAUCCCUCUCUAUUUAAAUAAUUUUUUUAAUUUUCCUCUCUUCAAUUUUUUAAAGUUUAAAUUUUAAAAUUAGAUUUGAAAAUUAAAAAAUUAAAAAAAUUUGUUCAAAAUAUUUUAAAAAUUGUAUAAAUUUUCCGCCGCGAAGUGCGGGCCUUCACUAGUAUAUAUUAUUUUGAGAACCUAUAUGCAUGUAUUUUUUUUAGUUUUUUUUGGUUAUUUUACUUUUUUCUGGUUAUUUUGGGAUUUUUAUUAUAGGGCAUCUAAUUAAAUUAGGCUUAAUAAAUGUGUGCUUCACCUUCCUGAGGCACGUGUCUCGCAGUGGGCCUCGCGCCUAGACUUCAGAAGAAUCUUGCUUCUCUUUGCAUCUUGCGCCUUUUCAAACACCGCUCCCACCGCAAAGAAGAAAUUGCUAUUUUAAAAC
rnacentral:lncRNA from 1 species